UACGUAGGGGGCGAGCGUUGUCCGGAAUCACUGGGCGUAAAGCGUCUGUAGGUGGUUUAAUAAGUCAACUGUUAAAUCUUGAAGCUCAACUUCAAAAUCGCAGUCGAAACUAUUAGACUUGAGUAUAGUAGGGGUAAAGGGAAUUUCCAGUGGAGCGGUGAAAUGCGUAGAGAUUGGAAAGAACACCGAUGGCGAAGGCACUUUACUGGUCUAUUACUGACACUCAGAGACGAAAGCUAGGGUAGCAAAUGGG
rnacentral:rRNA from 1 species